UAGGGAAUCUUCGGCAGUGGACGAAAGUCUGACCGAGCAACGCCGCGUGAGUGAAGAAGGUUUUCGGAUCGUAAAACUCUGUUGUUAGAGAAGAACAAGGACGUUAGUAACUGAACGUCCCCUGACGGUAUCUAACCAGAAAGCCACGGCUAACUACGUGCCAGCAGCCGCGGUAAUACGUAGGUGGCAAGCGUUGUCCGGAUUUAUUGGGCGUAAAGCGAGCGCAGGCGGUUUCUUAAGUCUGAUGUGAAAGCCCCCGGCUCAACCGGGGAGGGUCAUUGGAAACUGGGAGACUUGAGUGCAGAAGAGGAGAGUGGAAUUCCAUGUGUAGCGGUGAAAUGCGUAGAUAUAUGGAGGAACACCAGUGGCGAAGGCGGCUCUCUGGUCUGUAACUGACGCUGAGGCUCGAAAGCGUGGGGAGCAAACAGG
rnacentral:rRNA from 1 species